CCUACGGGAGGCAGCAGUGGGGAAUAUUGGGCAAUGGGGGAAACCCUGACCCAGCAACGCCGCGUGAAGGAAGAAGGCUUUCGGGUUGUAAACUUCUUUUACCAGGGACGAAGAAAGUGACGGUACCUGGAGAAAAAGCUCCGGCUAACUACGGGCCAGCAGCCGCGGUAAUACGUAGGGAGCGAGCGUUGUCCGGAUUUACUGGGUGUAAAGGGCGUGUAGGCGGAGCUGCAAGUCAGAAGGGAAAUCUCCGGGCUCAACCCGGAAACUGCUUUUGAAACUGUAGAGCUUGAGUGGAGUAGAGGUAGGCGGAAUUCCCGGUGUAGCGGUGAAAUGCGUAGAGAUCGGGAGGAACACCAGUGGCGAAGGCGGCCUGCUGGGCUCUAACUGACGCUGAGGCACGAAAGCGUGGGUAGCAAACAGGAUUAGAUACCCUUGUAGUC
rnacentral:rRNA from 1 species